rnacentral:rRNA from 1 species
CCUACGGGAGGCUGCAGUGGGGAAUCUUCGGCAAUGGGCGCAAGCCUGACCCAGCAACGCCGCGUGAAGGAAGAAGGCCUUCGGGUCGUAAAAUUCUUUUAAGGGGGACGAACAAAUGACGGUACACCUUGAAUCAGCCACGGCUAACUAAGUGCCAGCAGCCGCGGUAAUACGUAGGUGGCAAGCGUUAUACGGAUUUAUUGGGUGUAAAGGGCGUGUAGGCGGGAGCGCAAGUCAGAUGUGAAAACUCAGGGCUCAACCCUGAGCGUGCAUUUGAAACUGUGUUUCUUGAGUGCUGGAGAGGCAAUCGGAAUUCCGUGUGUAGCGGUGAAAUGCGUAGAUAUACGGAGGAACACCAGUGGCGAAGGCGGAUUGCUGGACAGUAACUGACGCUGAGGCGCGAAAGCGUGGGGAGCAAACAGGAUUAGAUACCCUAGUAGUC